rnacentral:rRNA from 1 species
GAUGAACGCUGGCGGCGUGCCUAAUACAUGCAAGUCGAGCGGACACACGCGGAGCUUGCUCCUCUGACGUUAGCGGCAAGCGGGUGAGUAACACGUGGAUGACCUACCUAUACGACUUGGCUCACUUCGGGGAACCGCAGCUAAUACCGGCUAAUAUUUUGGACCGCAUAGUUCAAUCCUGAAGGACGGUUUUGCUGUCACUUAUAGAUUGAUCCGCGCCGCAUUAUCUAGUUGGUAAGGUAACGGCAUACCCCGGCAACGAUGCGUAGCCGACCUGGGAGGGUCAUCGGCCACACGAGAAGUGAGACACGGCCCAGACUCCGACGGGAGGCAGCAGUAGGGAAUCUUACGCAAGGGGCGAAAGCCUGACGGAGCAACGCCGCGUGAGUGAUGAAGGUCUGCGGAUCGGGAAACUCUGUAAUUAGGGAAGAAGAAAUGUGUAAGUAACUAUGCACGUCUUGACGGUACCUAAACAGAAAGCCACGGCUAACUACGUG